rnacentral:tRNA from 1 species
UGGCUCGUAGCUCAACUGGACAGAUGUUCCCGGCUUUUAACCGGGAGGUUGUGAGUUCGAAUCUCACCGGGCCAA